UGACUGCUGCUGUGCCCCUCAGCGAGGUCUGCGCUGUUUUGUUAAAGGGUUUUAGCAGUUGGUCGAGGUCACAUGUGUCUGCAAAUUGGGCCAACGUUGAUCAAUCUAUAAAUGUAGGCGUAGGUGUCAAGAAUGAAAAAGAAAUAGGUUAGGGUUCCUCCAUCUUUACUGAUAACCACUCCAAAGGAAGGAAAAAAUUUCAAGAAAAGAAUCCCCCACUGCGUUUCCAUCCUUGCUUCCUCAGAAUGGACAGUUGACUAGAUGCAUGCAAAUGUUCAAGUGUUUUAGAGGUGGUAGUGGAGCGGAUGCUAAACUUCACACUGUUCCCGUGGGAAUAAUCCAAUGGAAUGCAGAAAUUCCUCGGACUUUUGAGAUGCUCCCUGAUUUCACAGCGGAGACUCAGGCUGCGUUUGUUUUACACAGAUCAGAAUCACGAUCAGUGAUCCGUCGUUCGUGUACAGACAUCAAAACCUGCAUACGUAUAGUGGAUGGUGGGAACCGGGUUGGGAUCACUGAAUGAGAUCCAGAUCCGUGUGGAACAAACAGGCCCUCACAGAAAUGUGUUCAUAAGUACCUCAGACAGUUUCUCUAUCCCUAUUGGUUGAGAGCCUGUCAUGUGGCUGGUUUUGAUAAAGGUACCAACUGGUUUUGAUAAAGGUACCAACUGGUUUUGAUAAAGGUACCAACUGGUUUUUAAACACUUUCCCAGUUUCAUAUAAAAGUUGGAUUCCUAUGUUAUGGAGUCAAGUCUCUCCUACAUGACAAACAUCAUCGUUAGGUAGACAUGCUCAGUAUAAUCCAGUGAGUCUGCAUUUCAUGGAGUAGGAAUUUUAGUCCAUGCUUCCUCAACUACGCUCUGCUUCACAUCAUGCAGCACACACCGAGCAUGGUAAUUUCCGUAACGGGAGACUGUUGUUGUGCAUCUGCGAUUCGCAUACUAUAGAUAUGGCUCAAGGGUUGUUAUACAAAACAUAACACAAGACUGGUGAAAAUUUCUGUUGAGAAAGAUAUGUAUGCAUUUUCGAUUGAUGUUUACUUUUUUCACACAAAAAGGUAUUUUCAGAGGUCCAUUAUCAUCUAAGGCCCCAUCCAGUUUUAAGCAGGCUGUUCCAAAAUUCUCCCUUCACAUGGUUUCUCCAUAAUAUUUCUCCAUAAAUAUUUGUGCAUUUUCCUGUGCAUUGAGGAGCUCUAUACUGAAGAGACCUCCUUGAAAAAUUGAUGAUAAUGCUCUAGAGGAGAUUGAAAAUUUCAAGUAAUUAGUUGCCACGGAAACCAGAUAUACCCAGCUGCCUAAUGAGCAGUGGUUCCGUUGGCGGAGUUGGCUCUAGCCGUCUCCAGCACCCAACCAGUGGGCUCAUUAAUUCAGCACAGUUGAGUCAGUGGUCAAAGCUGGUCCAACAUGAGUCUCCUUUCUCACCAUUUGGUUGAGGGUGCUAAGAAGGGGAUUGGAGUAACGUGAUAAAGUCCACGUAUUAAUCAAAAUUGUUUGAUCUAAGUUGGGAUAGAUCUUAAUGAAUUAAAUGCUGUAUUUUUAUGCAAAACUUUUUGGAAGAUCAAAAAACCAAGUAUAAUAAUCAAAUAUCCUAUGCUGUGACAAAAUCAAAUUGACAUAUACGUCAAAGUUGAGAAGAUUUAAGCAUUUUGAAAGCCAAAACAAAAUACCCUCUCUGAUCCCGAAUUUUUAAUUGAUUUGAAAUGACAACUUCCAUUAAAUGUACAUGAGAUCUACAGGUCCGGUCGUCUUUUUAAAGAACAUCAUUCUGUACAAUUAAGCACUGUACCCCAAAAAAGGCUUUCGUCACCGAACCACAUUUCUAUUAAAAAGGCCCAUGAAAACCGUUUUCAAUGAAUUUAUGGAAUACAAAUGAGGAUAUUCAUACAUGUUUUGAAUGGAUGAAAACAGCAGGAGAUCCUUUUGACCAGCAUUUGUCAACCAGCCUCCCCUCCCCACAAUGUGCAUCCUUAAUGGGUAGAAAUUGGAAACAGCCAGAGUAUGGGAACAAUGCAGACCAGGCCUGGAGAUGAUGUUGGAUUUUCAGCACGGCACAUGAGCCAUCAAUCUUAAUGCCAGACGACAUCAAGUCCAGGUUCUCUCGGGAUGUUCCAACAGUCAAACCCGGUUUUUGCCAUCCCACAGGGAUGCUUUUAACGAUCCGUGUGAAUGACGUGAAUGUCAUCAAGCAGUCAUGUGUAUCUAUGGUGUGCUUGUGUAGGUGCAUGGAAUAACUGCAGGAAAGUACCAGGAAAUACCCCUCGGUUUGUCUUUUUCCCCUUCUUAUUACGGUUGGCUUUUGGAAAAGAAGGCUUCUUCGCUGCACGAUAGUGUGUGCUACAUAAGUAUAACCCUAACCACUGUGCACAUUUAUCGGUUAUCUGCUCUAAAUCAACGGAGCCCAACUAAGUUCACUGUUACUAAGUCCAACAGAUUUAGAAUUGGACCCGUUGGAUUAUGCAAGAAACGUUAGAUCCUUUUGGAUUCAGUAUGACUUGGGUUUAUGAAUUAACCAUAUCAUUUGGCAGUGUUGUAGUCAAGUACUUUUCAAGUACCAAGUUUUCUGCCUAAUAUUUAACUAGUUAGGAGGGAACAAAGCUGAAGCACAUGGACAUUUGAUGAUACUUGAACAAAGGUAAGAUUACAAAGUAGAAUGAGUUUAAACCAUCACUUUUGAGUAAAAUUUGAGUUUUAGGACAACAGUACUUGAAAAGUACUCGACCGAGUACAGUGUACUUUCAAGUACUUUUCUCCUUGAAACUUAAAUUUUACAAAACUGGGGGUGAUUGAAGUCCUACAUGUACAUUUCAUUUGUAAUCUUACCUUUGAGCAUUUACCAUCGAAUGCCUUCGGAAAGUACUCCAGCUUUAUUCCCUCUUACCCAGUUCAAUAUUUGACAGAGAACCUUGGUACUUGAAAAGUACUUGACUACAACACUGUCAUUUGGGUGCCAAAUCAAGUCGCUCUUUACUCCUUGAUAUCAUGUACACUGUGAGCACGGUAGCAGCAGCCUGAGCGCCUGGGGCCUCAACCUCGGCUUGACAUGGGUAAAAUCUUCAAGUAACUGGUUACAGUCCAACACCUGGGGUUGUGAUGUGUAUUUUGUCCUCUGCCAAGCUACCUCCAUGUAAUUCAGUUUGCAUCUCUCCACUCUGAAGUGAUUUCGUUUGGGUCAGGUGGUUGUACCAAAAUAGCAAUAUUGUACUGUAUACCUGUACUUCCUCAAUAGUAAGGACACGCAAUGGUAACAGUAACAAGAAACACUAUAAAGAAAUAAAUUGUUAUUAUUAUUAAAUGUAA